UUCAUCUCCUCCUCUUUUCCUUCAAAGCUCACGUGCUCUCUCUCUUCAACUACUCAUCUUCAUCUUUCUCUCUAGAAAAACAAACAGAACAAGCAACCCAUACAUACUCCAUCUUUCUCACUUUGUGUAAGUUUUAAGCUUUGCAUGUAGCAUCAAACAUUAACCCUUAAUCUUAGAAAUUAAUAGAAGAUGUUUGAAACUCCAAUCUUCCCUUUUUCCUUAGCUUGGCCGAAAUCCUCUCUCUCAUUGGUUAAGUUCAUCUAAUUCUUCAAUGAGACUAUGCAUGUGUCCAUUAAAGCUUCCUUCCACCAUUGUAUGUUGUUGGGUAAUCAAGGUAUGAGAGAAAUUCAACCUAUUCCUUUCCCCUUUGUUUCAUCAGAACCCUAAAUUAAAUUCCCUCACUAAAGUUCACGAGAGAAACUCAUCUUAGUCUUCUAUUCCCUAUUCCUUUUGAUUUGGUCGAAAUCCAAACAACAAGCCUAAACCCCAAACUCAGUUUCUUCAAAUUCAUAUUUGCAUGUGAAAGAUCCUACUCAAGUUCAAGCCUUUGGGUUACUAGGAAUCUAAGGUAAGAGGAAUCAAACUCAUCUUCUUUUCUUUCUUGGUUAUGUUAGACUCUAAGUCCUUCUUGGUGUAAUUGCAUGUUCCUAAUUACUGAACUUGGAGCACUUGGGAGGAGUUAAGAAUUGAUGGGUGAAAUAAGAAAACAAGAGGAAUUGGAAUGGCUGUGCAAAAAUCGUGUUUCUGGACAGGGUCUCACUAAAACGUAUUGAGUUCAGGAGACGCAUCUGAAGUUCAGGGUCUGAUGCAGAAUUUUGGGCUACGGGUUUGAAGUGUUGUGGCUGCAAUUUCUGUUUUUCAGCAAACUCCGGAUGUGUCAAUGGUACUGUUAAAGCAUCAAAUUCAGGUAAAUAGGUUAAUCGGAGCAAGGACCAGGCAGGAACUGAUGAUCGAGGUUGAGCUUGGAUUAUCGGAUUAGAAGACUAUCGUCUUCUUCUUUGUUUUUUGUUAAUCUGUUAUUAAGAUUUCAGUCAUCAUUUCAACUGUGUUGUAUUGAUUAUCACAUUAUUCUCGUGAUAAUUUGUAAUUCGAUUAAUUAUUCUGUAAAUUUUAAUGUACUCAGAUUCAAUUAUUAAUAUCUCGACUAAAUAUUCUAGACAAUUUAGUUGGGGUGUUACAAUUGGUAUCAGAGCAGGUCGAUCUAGUAUCGGACCUUGCCAUGAGUCAUUAGAAUUCAUUCCUAAGUAGUACGGACCCUUUGGAGUCUGGACUGUUUACGCUGAAAUCAUUGCGUGCUGAGCCUGUACAACUCAGUAUCGUGCAUGAUAGGCAGGGUAUUACGGUUGAGAACUGAAGUGGACCAAGGACGUCGAGUAGUAAGAACAGAGUAGAAGCGCAAUCUCGGACGAAAGUAAGAACCAAGUUCUUUGGAAACUGAUGUUGAAGCUGCAGUUGUUGACGCCACAGGAGUAAGUAGCAUAGCACCAACAAGUGGCGCGUAGUAUUUUGGAACAAUAGUGGUUUCGUGCCAGCAGUAAGAGUCAUGUCAGGAUAGGUAUGAAUCAGACGCGCUCAAAUGAAGUUGAUCAGCAAAAGACUCGUAGGAUUCUGGGAAAACAGACAACCUUAGUAUCAACGUAAGCCUUGACCGAAGUGGAACUCAGACUGGGUAUAGAAGUAAGAUACCCCGAUGUUAGCUGUAAAUCCGGAUUUGUAAUGAGGCAGAUAGAUGGAUGAGAAAAUCUCUCAAAGUAGUAAAUCACGAGCGGCGUAUACCGAAGGUAGAAUUGUCACACGGAGGAAUGUAGAUAAACCAUUAUACCGAAGUGUGUAGUACGUAAUAGUAUCCAACUGACACUAUGUAUCAGGUAAACUUUUCCGAACCUAGAAGUAACCUAACUCUCUUGUGAACCUACGUACCAGAAGCAUGUUGAACCAAGUAAAACCUAUCAGUCAGUAGACCGAAACUCUUCCUAAAUACUUAACCGUCCAUUGCAGCCAAGAAAUUCAUCCAAUAUUGUUAGAGUAAUAAAAAAAAAAACCAAUCACCUAUACUAGAAAAUUCAAAUUAAGCCACAUAUACAUAUCAUUAUUUUUCGGAUACCAUCUUGUUAGAUUACCCUCUAAAAUGUCAACAUUAACUGUCCUCAAUAAAAAGAAUUCAACCUCUCAGUUUGUAACUGGUAAUCAUACCAAACCAUUAUAAUAAGUCUAGCCUUAUCUAGUAUAACAGUCAGAAACUCCCUCGUAACAAUACCCGUUAUCCAUGUAGGUAAACUAAAAGUCAUCAUUCAAAUGUCCUUAAACUAGUAACUCAAAAUCAAUAUUAGUCUCAGUCAAUCACCAAACCAUUUCAUGUAUUCAAACCUAUCGACUAAUGACUCGACAGAAGUAGUUAACCCUUCAUUUGAAAUUUUGUUAGCUAAAACCUAAAUGUGAACCAAGUUGUCCGAACUCGGUAGAUGUCGGAUCUUCAAUUAUCUAUCUAUCCAUGUGGACCCUAACUCAGUAUAAUUCGUCGCAUCGAACAAUGCUUGAUUCCAUAUCAACCAGUCUUAGAAAACCUAGAAUAGGCAUGUUUCCAUAAAUUGUCUGCUUACGCAUCAGACAAAUAAUUACUUUUGUGUCUUAAUGUAUAUCAGCCACGUGUGACAUGCAAAUUCGAUAUAUCAGUAAGUCAAAUAGAUAUGGUAGAGCGUCACUCUUAAGUAACCAUAUCAAAUGUCUUCAACCUUUCAGUUAUGUUUAUAGUAACUAAUUUGGAACCACUCAAUUCCGUGAAACUAAGAAGCAGUAAUAAGAAUAUGAUCCUUUUAGUUCUGUUCUCUAUAACCAUGUUAGAUCAGUGUAAACUCUGAGUAUCUUGGCCAAAAUGAUUCAGCUCUCUAGUCUGUUACCGAAAAUCAGUUCAAGUCAGCAUAGGUUGUAGUUACUCGUGUAGAGUAAUGAAAUGCCAUCACUCGUGUCCAACUAUCCAGAUUUAGAAUCCGACUGUUUUGUCAAAUUUCCAUCACAUUAGCUUACCAGUUACAUUUUCAAACAAGUCUAACCCUUAGCUUAAGAGAAAAUUCGAACUCAAGCUCAUCUACACGUUAAAUGUACAACUAGAUCCUUUGUGUUGUGCUAGGAUUGAUUGGAAUGGUAGGUGGAAAGUUUCCCAAAGAACUAUGAGUCCGUUUGCAGAUGAGUUUAACUUAUUGGCAAAAUGAUAUGUAGUAAUUAGGCACUCUUCCACUCGUUUUAUAUUUCAAUCGAUCCUGGAGUAUUUAAACGACACAUGUGUCAUCUAGUGGUACAUAUGACAUAUUAGACGCUUGUAGUGUUCGAAAUUAAGUAAUUGAGAAUAACCAUGAGAAUGAAUAUUUUUGGAUUUGUCAGUUUAGUACUCAAGCUUAUAUCCUUCAGAUAACCUUAUAACGUCAAUCUAUGCCCAAUGUCUUAGUGUGUACCCAACUAGGCCAGAUACCGACUUAAGGAAGUCAGUUGAGUAACAAAGUUAUUGCUGGAAGCAAUAAAAAGAAAUUAAUCGUAACGAAGAUUGCUAGGGUGAGAAGCUAGGUGAAGUCUAACUCACUGACCCUCUCACUGAAUGAAAGUAUGUUGACGGAAUCAGAGUGCGCAGCAAGUAUGGGUUAAGGAUGUAGGUAGUAGUUUGACUUGUAUCUUGGUAACUCGUCAAGAGAGGAAAUUUCAUUCCAAGCAACGAGAUGUAAUUGACUGUGAAAUGAGUAAUGCGCGUCUGAUGAGUAAGUAUGCACACUGUCACACUCAAACCUUGAAUUGUUAGUAGCGAAGUACUCUUGAGAGAAGAGACGGUGUUCGAAAAACACCGUUCAACUAAGAAGUUUAGCAUGGUGAACUUGUAGCAGCAAGUGUACUCCAGUAUUAACGUCAAGGGUGUAGAUGAAAGGACUAAUAUUUCAUAAGCCUGUGAACUACGAAAAGAUAACGGGAAUGACUGUUAUGGGAUAACCACACACCAAAAAGUUGUGAUAUUGUACCUAAGGGGGAUUCAAUGUCAUGAAUCGGACGGGAACGUAGACGGUUACCCUGGUGUUGAGUGAAGAAGAAUCCGAAUUUCGGGGACGAAAUUCUUUUAAGGGGGGUAGAUUGUAAUAUCCCGAUCUUAAUUAAUAGGAGUAUUAUUAAUUAAGACUAUAUAAUGGAAUUAAGUAAUUGAGAAUGAAAAAUAGUAGAGAAGCACGAUGACAAACUAGUAAUAAAUGGAUGGUUGUAUGGUAAUUAAUGACAAUUGAUAUAGAAGGAUCACACCUAUAAUAAGCCAAGAGAAAUAGAAAAUCAAUUGUCAGCAAACUUUCUCUCUUCUCCCACGUCAAAAACAACAACACCAACACUAGAAAUAAUGGACCCACACCUUUAUUGAAACUAGACAACCACUA